ACGGUCGCAAGGCUGAAACUCAAAGGAAUUGACGGGCACCCGCACAAGCGGUGGAGCAUGCUGUUUAAUUCGAAGAUACGCGAAGAACCUUACCUAGACUUGACAUCCCUGGCAAAGCUAUAGAAAUAUAGUGGAGGUUACCCAGGUGACAGGUGGUGCAUGGUUGUCGUCAGCUCGUGUCGUGAGAUGUUCGGUUAAGUCCGCUAACGAGCGCAACCCUUAUCCUUAGUUGCUAACAUUUAGUUGAGAACCCUAAGGAGACUGCCGGUGACAAACCGGAGGAAGGUGGGGAUGACGUCAAAUCAUCAUGCCCCUUACGUCUAGGGCUACAGGCGUGCUAUAAUGGCUGGUACAAUGAGACGCAAUACUGUGAAGUGAAGCAAAUCUAUAAAGCCAGUCUCAGUUCGGAUUGAAGUCUGCAACUCGACUUCAUGAAGCUAGAAUCGCUAGUAAUCCCAAAUCAGAAUGUUGGGGUGAAUACGUUCCCGGGUGUUGUACACACCGCCCGUCAUGCCAUGAAAGUUUGUAAUACCCGAAUGUGGUAGCCUAACCUUUUAGGAGGGGGCCAUUUAAGGUAGGACAAGUGAUUGGGGUAAAGUCGUAACAAGGUAUCCCUACGAGAACGUGGGGAUGGAUCACCUCCUUU
rnacentral:ncRNA from 1 species